UCGCGUUCGGGCGGCAUGCGCCAUUCAUGGUAGGCCAUCUUGAGCAGGUCCGUGAGUUCGUCGUCGGUGUAGGCGCGCGCGCGGUCAAUCUCGACGGAGGACGCCGAAUCGUAGCCGCUGGUAAACACUCGAUCCAGCGUGGUGGCCUCGGGGCGAGCGCGCGCGCAUUCCGUGGCAUCCCAUUGCAAGCGCGAUUGCGCCCUCUGCCUGCUCUCGGCAGACAGGCGGAACGAACCGCCGGCCCGAGCCUGUUCGGCGCCAGAGGAUGCGGGAGGAGCGGGAGAAACGGCCGACAUGGCGAGCGAUGAUCUGGGUCGUUGACGACGACGACAGACGGCGUUGGGUGGAAGAGACGGCGGACGCCCACGCAAACGAAAAAAAGGAGGGCAAAACGGGGCGCGCGCUGCACGGGCAAAGCACACAAGAAGAACAGACAAUACGGUGAGAUGCAGAGAGGUAGGAAAGCGUGGGCGAGACACCGGGUGCGUCGGGCGAUGGCGCGCGAUCAAAAUGGACAAGUCAUAAGAGGAGAAUGAAAAGGGAAAAAACGCCGAGAACAAUGGCAGGUGACAGGCUUUUAGAGCGCGCGCAAGCGUAAAGGGGGCGAACACGUCAAAAAAACGACCCACAAAGGAACAACGAGGAGGUUGCCUGUUUUAUGGGAUGGCCGCGCAUGCUUCGACGAUCAGAAAAUAGGCAGAGAGACGGAGAAGGAAAUCGGCCCAACAAUGCCGGGGCCACGCAGAAAGGAGCGUGUGUGCGACAUGCACACAAGAGGCAACGCGAGGCAUCAUAAAAAGCCACGCAAAAAAAAGACAAAAAGAUGGCGAUAUACCACAAGAGAGCGCAAAAAAGCCGC
rnacentral:lncRNA from 1 species